GAUAAACGCUGGCGGCGUGCCUAAUACAUGCAAGUCGAUCGAGAGCGGAGCAAUCCGCGAAAGAGGCGAACGGGUGAGUAAUACAUAAGCAACCUGGCCACAAAGACGGGGAUAACACCUGGAAACGGGCGCUAAUACCGGAUAAGUGAAGGUGGGGCAUCCCACCAUCAUAAAAGGGAGAGAAACGCGAGUGGAUGGGCUUAUGGUGCAUUAGUUAGUUGGCGGGAUAAAGGCCCACCAAGACGAUGAUGCAUAGCCGGACUGAGAGGUUGAACGGCCACAUUGGGACUGAGACACGGCCCAGACUCCUACGGGAGGCAGCAGUAGGGAAUUUUCGGCAAUGGGGGAAACCCUGACCGAGCAACGCCGCGUGAGUGAAGAAGUUUUUCGGAAUGUAAAGCUCUGUUGUAAGGGAAGAAGAGAUAUGGAGGACCAUAUUGUGACGUACCUACGAGGAGCC
rnacentral:rRNA from 1 species